GAACUGUUUAGUGUGAGUAAAACGGGAGCAACGACAGCACCCCAGAGAAGUAGAGAGGCGCCAGGCACCCCCGGGAUCACCCUCCUCGUGGUCUCCGGUGUGAUCGUCCUGCUCGCUGCCUUUAUCGUCUACAAAUACGGCCGGUGUGGAGCAGCUGCUGACAGCAUGACCAAAAGGUAGAGAUCUGUCACAUGUCCUCCACGACUCCCUGACACCCCCGACUCCCACCUGACCCCAACCUUCAGCAGCCGCGGGCCAGCUCGAAUGGCCACUGGCUGCUCUCUGUCCACGUCCUCACGGGCACCCCCGCAGCCCCUGGAGUCUGUCCCAGAGCCUGCCCUCGACUCCCCGUGCUCCUGGCGUGCGAGCAGAGGGGACGCAGGCUUGCAAGGACUUGUG